GACGUAGGUGGCGACCGUUAUCCGGAAUUAUUGGGCGUAAAGGAUGCGUAGAUGGUGUAGUAAGUUAUCGGUGGCAAAUCGAGGCUCAACCUCGUGGAAGUCGGUAAUACUGCUAUGCUAGAGGAUAGGAGAGGUUAACGGAACUCCCUGUGGAGCGGUGAAAUGCGUAGAUAUAGGGAAGAACACCAAUAAGGCGAAGGCAGUUAACUAUUCUAUUCCUGACAUUGAGGCAUGAAAGCGUGGGGAGCAAAACGG
rnacentral:rRNA from 1 species